GUCAAAUUCCCCUCAGGAGCUGUUUUUCAGAAGGAUCCCUCUAGAAGAUCCAAGUCAGGACACUUCAGGAGGGAAACGAAGGAUGGAUUUUUCUGGCCUUUAUGGUGGAGCUGAAACAGAGGUUGAAUCUCCAAAUCAAGAACAUCUUGUAUCCUUUGAGGAGGUGGCUGUGUAUUUCUCCAAAGAGGAGUGGUCUCAGCUGGAUGUAGACCAAAAAGCACUGCAUUCGAAGUCAUGCUGGAGAAUCAUAGGAAUGGCCU